UUCCGGUUGAUCCUGCCGGACCCCACUGCUAUCGGGAUAGGACUAAGACAUGCUAGUCGUCUCAGCCAUGAAGAGCACACAGCUCAGUAACACGUGGCUAACCUGCCCUUGAGACGGGAACAACCCCGGGAAACUGGGGCUAAUUCCCGAUAGGCGAAGAACCCUGGAAUGGGUCUUCACCCAAAAGGCCUAGUGCUCAAGGAUGGGGCCGCGGCCGAUCAGGUUGUUGGUGAGGUAACGGCUCACCAAGCCUUUGACCGGUGCGGGCCGUGGGAGCGGGAGCCCGGAGAUGGGCACUGAGACAAGGGCCCAGGCCCUACGGGGCGCAGCAGUCGCGCAAACUUUGCAAUACACGAAAGUGUGACAGGGCUAUCCCGAGUGCCGUCCGCUGAGGAUGGCUUUUACCCAGUCUAGAUAGCUGGGAGAAUAAGGAGAGGGCAAGUUCUGGUGUCAGCCGCCGCGGUAAUACCAGCUCUCCGAGUGGUGUGGAUGUUUAUUGGGCCUAAAGCAUCCGUAGCUGGCCAGGCAAGUCCCCUGUUAAACCCAACGAAUUAAUCGUUGGUUUGCGGGGGAUACUGCCCGGCUAGGGGACGAGAGAGGCCGACGGUAUUUUCGGGGUAGGGGUGAAAUCCUAUAAUCCCGGGAAGACCACCAGUGGCGAAGGCUGUCGGCUAGAACGCGCCCGACGGUGAGGGAUGAAAGCUGGGGGAGCGAACCGGAUUAGAUACCCGGGUAGUCCCAGCUGUAAACGAUGCAGGCUAGGUGUUUGGGCGGCCACGUGCCGCUCUAGUGCCGCAGGGAAGCUGUUAAGCCUGCCGCCUGGGGAGUACGGUCGCAAGAUUGAAACUUAAAGGAAUUGGCGGGGGAGCACCACAAGGGGUGAAGCUUGCGGUUUAAUUGGAUUCAACGCCGGA
rnacentral:rRNA from 1 species